CGUAGGGUGCAAGCGUUAUCCGGAAUUAUUGGGCGUAAAGAGCUCGUAGGCGGUUUGUCGCGUCUGCUGUGAAAACUGGAGGCUCAACCUCCAGCCUGCAGUGGGUACGGGCAAACUAGAGUGCGGUAGGGGAGAUUGGAAUUCCUGGUGUAGCGGUGGAAUGCGCAGAUAUCAGGAGGAACACCGAUGGCGAAGGCAGAUCUCUGGGCCGUAACUGACGCUGAGGAGCGAAAGCAUGGGGAGCGAACAGGAUUAGAUACCCUGGUAGUCCAUGCCGUAAACGUUGGGCGCUAGAUGUGGGGACCAUUCCACGGUUUCCGUGUCGCAGCUAACGCAUUAAGCGCCCCGCCUGGGGAGUACGGCCGCAAGGCUA
rnacentral:rRNA from 1 species